GGUACACACAGAUCGUUCUCCAGGUACACACAGAUCAUUCUCCAGGUACACACAGAUCGUUUUCCAGGUACACACAGAUCGUUUUCCAGGUACACACAGAUCGUUCUCCAGGUACACACAGAUCAUUCUCCAGGUACACACAGAUCGUUUUCCAGGUACACACAGAUCGUUCUCCAGGUACACACAGAUCGUUCUCCAGGUACACACAGAUCAUUCUCCAGGUACACACAGAUCGUUUUCCAGGUACACACAGAUCAUUCUCCAGGUACACACAGAUCGUUUUCCAGGUACACACAGAUCGUUCUCCAGGUACACACAGAUCGUUCUCCAGGUAC